AUUGGUUGUCAUAAAAAAAACAUAAGGGGUAACACUGUCGGUUUUUAUUGGUUGUCAUAAAAAAAACAUAAGGGGUAACACUGUCGUUUUUUAUUGGUCGUCAUGAAAAAAAACAUAAGGGGUAACACUGUUGUUUUUUUAUUGGUCGUCAUGAAAAAAAACAUAAGGGGUAACACUGUUGUUUUUUUAUUGGUCGUCAUGAAAAAAAACAUAAGGGGUAACACUGUUGUUUUUUAUCGGUUGUCGUAAAAAAAACAUAAGGGGUAACACUGUCGGUUUUUAUUGGUUGUCAUAAAAAAAUC
ensembl:lncRNA